AUGUGGUUUGGAGCAUUUAAUAACCAUUUAAAAGGUUCCAUUCCAAAAAGCAUGAAAAACUGCAGUACCUUAGUCACAGUUUCAAUUGAAGGGAAUCAAUUAACUGGAAAUAUAUCACAAGUGUUUGGAAUAUACCCGAAAUUAAAUUAUAUGGACAUAAGUAACAAGAAGUUCGUCGGUAAACUUCCUGGAAGCUGGGGACAAUAUGGUAAACUUACAAUGCUCAACAUCUCCAACAACAAAGUUUCUGGUGGGCUACUUCCCGAUCUUGGCAAAGCUAGUCAAUUACAUGUACUUGACAUGUCCUCCAAUCUUCUAGCAGGAAAAAUUCCCAAGGAAUUGGGACAGAUGAAAUUGUUGUACAUCCUCAAACUCAAUAAUAACAAACUUUCUAGCAACGUUCCUGAAAAAAUUGGAAUGUUAUCCAAUCUUGAACAGCUUGAUCUUUCAGCAAACGGACUGAGUGGACCAAUUCCCAUAAGUUUGGAAAAGUGUUCAAAACUACUGCACUUGAACUUGAGAAGCAACAAUUUCAGUGGGAAAGUUCCCUUUCAGAUUGGAAAUUUGCAUGCUCUCCAAAAUCUUGAUCUUAGUCACAACUUGUUGACAGGAGACUUGCCUAUGGAGCUUGGGCAUUUGCGCAUAUUAGAAACAUUUAACCUCUCGAACAACAGCUUCUCCGGCUCAAUUCCAUCCACGUUUAAAGAGAUGUUGAGCUUGACAUCUAUUGAUGUAUCCAACAAUCAGCUAGAAGGUCCUGUUCCUGGCAUCAAAGCCUUCAUUGAGGCCCCCGUAGCAGCAUUGGAAAACAAUAAAGGCUUGUGUGGCAAGCAUACUAGUCUGAAGCCUUGCCCCACACGCAGAAAGAAAAAUAGCGAUGGAGUUUUAAUACUGGUCAUAAUCUCUAUCUCCAGCACUGUAACUAUGUUGUUUAUCCUUGUGGGGGUCAUGUUUUUUAUUUGGCAAAAGAGAGAGAUGAACAAGGAUGAGCCAACAGAAGCACCAACUGUAACUUUCUUUGCAACAUGGAACCAUGAUGGGAAAAAGGUGCAUGAAGAAAUAAUCAAAGCCACGGAGAACUUUGACUCCAAAUACUGCAUUGGAAUUGGAGGAUAUGGGAGUGUCUAUAAAGCACUGCUAUCAACCGGUCAGGUGGUUGCUGUAAAAAAAUUCCAUGAGGAUGGAGGAAUAGCUAGGGAAGAAGCUUUUGUAAAUGAAAUCAGUGUAUUGACAAGAGCUAGACACAGAAAUAUCAUUAAGCUCCAUGGAUUUUGUUUGCAUUUGAGGCAUUCAUUUUUGGUUUACGAACUCAUGGAACGGGGAAGCUUAGCAGACGUUUUAAGAGAUGAAAUGAAGGCAACAGAGCUGGGAUGGAGAAAGCGGGUGAAUAUUGUUGAAGGCUUAGCGAAUGCCUUAUCAUACAUGCACCAUGACUGCUCACCUGCCAUAAUUCAUAGAGACAUAACAAGCAACAAUGCCUUAUUGGAUGCAGAAUAUGAAGCUCACAUUGCAGACUUUGGCACGGCUAGAAAUUUAGCACCUGAAUCAUCAUCUAGCUGGAGUUCAUUUGCUGGAACAGUCGGAUAUACAGCACCAGAGCUUGCUUAUUCAACGCAAGCACAUGACAAGGGCGACGUGUACAGCUUUGGAGUUGUUGCACUGGAAGUGAUUAUGGGAAAGCAUCCAGGGGAUCUCAUCUCCUCUCUCUCAACGCCAUCAUCAUCAUCAUCCUCAUCACCACCACCAUCAACACCUGCUGCUCAUCAAAUUCUGCUCAAGGAUGUAUUGGAUCAGCGACUCUCACCUCCAUUGAGUCACACAGCAGAGAAAGUUGUCUGCAUUGGGAAGCUAGCAUUUGCUUGUCUGCAACCAGCUCCACAGUCUCGGCCAACAAUGAAGGAGGUGUCCAAUAAGCUAUCAACUUUGCUACCAUCCAAGUUAAAGCCUUUCUGUUCCAUUACAUUAGUACAGCUUUUGAAUCUCCCAACUUAAAACACUUCCUAUAUGGUUGGAAUGUCUCCUUGUAAUUAUAUUCUCUCUAUGUUUGUGUGUAUUUAGACUUUCCCCCCCCCCCCCCCCCCCCCCUCCCUAUUUGAAAUCUCAGCUGUGUUACCCAUUAGAAAGUUAUUAUUCUAUUGUUUUAUUGCUGAAUUUACAUUAAAAAGACAGUGAUGAUGAAUAGGUUUCACAAUUCUGUCAGAAGUGGUUGGUACAAUAAUGAGUAUUUUAUUUCACGGGUUUUGGAAUAACCUUCCUCAACAAAAUUAAUAAAAAAAGAAAAAAAAGAAAAAAAAAAAAUCUUGGAUCACUUUCGGCAUGUGGAAAUAAGUAAUUCAAAAAUUGCAAAUGUUAAAAGCAAAGUGGCUUUCUUUAUGACAAUGAUCCUAAUUAGAAUUUCCAGGAUACUAAAACUGUUUUAGUUUUGCAUAAUAUUUUGUAUUCCAAAAUCUAGGAAAAAAAUUCUAUGUUUUUAUCGACAUUGUAUAAUUAAGCGAAACAUUUUCUUUUAAUUUUUUAAUUUUUUAAUUUUCUGUGGUGUGAACAUUUCUAACAUGUCUAAGUUACUUGUUUUUAAUUGAGUUAAAAAAAUUAAAAAAAAAUAAAAAAAAGGGAAAAAGAAAUGAUAGAGAUAUAUAUAUAUAUAUAUAUAUAACAGAAAAAAAAAAAAAAAAACGUGGUCAGUGGGCGUGAAGACCCGCAGUCCAGUUGGCGUAUGAAUAGAUGUUCGUUGCAGACGAACCCACUCGCAUUCAGAACUCAACUCUGCCGUCUACCAACUGAGAGCUCUGAGAUGGCGGGGCGGCGAUUGGGUAGGGAAGGAGAGAAGACGAGGAAGAGAGGAAGGGCGUGCGUCGUCGUUUUGGGAGACAUUGGCCG